AGAGUUUGAUCAUGGCUCAGGAUGAACGCUAGCGGCAGGCUUAAUACAUGCAAGUCGAGGGGCAACAGGGGUAGCAAUACCUGCUGGCGACCGGCAAACGGGUGCGGAACACGUACAGAACCUUCCUUUAAGUGGGGGAUAGCCCAGAGAAAUUUGGAUUAAUACCCCGUAAUAUCAUGAGAUGGCAUCAUUUUAUGAUUAUAGAUUUAUCGCUUAGAGAUGGCUGUGCGGCUGAUUAGGUAGUUGGCGGGGUAAAGGCCCACCAAGCCUUCGAUCAGUAACUGGUGUGAGAGCACGACCAGUCACACGGGCACUGAGACACGGGCCCGACUCCUACGGGAGGCAGCAGUAAGGAAUAUUGGUCAAUGGACGGAAGUCUGAACCAGCCAUGCCGCGUGAAGGAUGACGGUCCUCUGGAUUGUAAACUUCUUUUAUGUGGGAAGAAACCCGGGAAUUCUUUUCCGGUUGACGGUACCAUAGGAAUAAGCACCGGCUAACUCCGUGCCAGCAGCCGCGGUAAUACGGAGGGUGCGAGCGUUAUCCGGAUUCACUGGGUUUAAAGGGUGCGUAGGUGGGUCUGUAAGUCAGUGGUGAAAUCUCCGGGCUUAACCUGGAAACUGCCAUUGAUACUAUAGGUCUUGAAUUUUCUGGAGGUAAGCGGAAUAUGUCAUGUAGCGGUGAAAUGCUUAGAUAUGACAUAGAACACCAAUUGCGAAGGCAGCUUGCUACAGGGAUAUUGACACUGAGGCACGAAAGCGUGGGGAUCAAACAGGAUUAGAUACCCUAGUAGUCC
rnacentral:rRNA from 1 species